GAUGAACGCUGGCGGCGUGCCUAAUACAUGCAAGUCGAGCGAACAGACGAGGAGCUUGCUCCUCUGACGUUAGCGGCGAACGGGUGAGUAACACGUGGAUAACCUACCUAUAAGACUGGGAUAACUUCGGGAAACCGGAGCUAAUACCGGAUAAUAUAUUGAACCGCAUGGUUCAAUAGUGAAAGACGGUUUUGCUGUCACUUAUAGAUGGAUCCGCGCCGCAUUAGCUAGUUGGUAAGGUAACGGCUUUCCAAGGCAACGAUGCGUAGCCGACCUGAGAGGGUGAUCGGCCACACUGGAACUGAGACACGGUCCAGACUCCUACGGGAGGCAGCAGUAGGGAAUCUUCCGCAAUGGGCGAAAGCCUGACGGAGCAACGCCGCGUGAGUGAUGAAGGUCUUCGGAUCGUAAAACUCUGUUAUUAGGGAAGAACAAAUGUGUAAGUAACUAUGCACGUCUUGACGGUACCUAAUCAGAAAGCCACGGCUAACUACGUG
rnacentral:rRNA from 1 species